rnacentral:rRNA from 1 species
UACGUAGGUGGCAAGCGUUGUCCGGAUUUACUGGGCGUAAAGAGCGCGUAGGCGGUUUGUUAAGUCGGAUGUGAAAGCCCCCGGCUCAACUGGGGAGGGUCAUUCGAUACUGUCCGACUCGAAGGCAGGAGAGGGAAGCGGAAUUCCCGGUGUAGUGGUGAAAUGCGUAGAUAUCGGGAGGAACACCAGUGGCGAAGGCGGCUUUCUGGCCUGUUCUUGACGCUGAGGCGCGAAAGCCAGGGGAGCAAACGGG